CAGCCGCCGCGGGAAUACGAAGGGGGCUAGCGUUGUUCGGAUUUACUGGGCGUAAAGGGCGCGUAGGCGGACUGAUAAGUCAGGGGUGAAAUCCCAAGGCUCAACCUUGGAACUGCCUUUGAUACUGUUUGUCUUGAGUUCGAGAGAGGUAAGUGGAACUGCGAGUGUAGAGGUGAAAUUCGUAGAUAUUCGCAAGAACACCAGUGGCGAAGGCGGCUUACUGGCUCGAAACUGACGCUGAGGCGCGAAAGCGUGGGGAGCAAACAGGAUUAGAGACCCCCGUAGUCCCUGUCUCUUAUAC
rnacentral:rRNA from 1 species